rnacentral:rRNA from 1 species
CUCCAUAGAUCUAGACUGCUGGAAUGCUUUUAGAUUGAAAGAUUUAUCGCCUAAGGGAUAAGUCUGCGGACUAUCAGGUUGUAGUUAGGGUAAAUACCUGACUAGCGUACCGACGGAUACGGGGUAGUGAGAGCUAUAGCCCGGAGAUGAUAUCUGAGACACGAUAUCAGGCCCUACGGGGCGCAGCAGGCGCGAAAACUUCGCACUGUGCGAAAGCACGACGAGGGAAUCCCAAGUGCUGGCUCGUAAGAGUCAGCUGUUUUUCUGUCUAAAACGCAGGGAGAGUAAGAGCUGGGUAAGACGGGUGCCAGCCGCCGCGGUAAUACCUGCAGCUCAAGUGGUGGCCGCUAUUAUUGGGCCUAAAACGUCCGUAGCCGGUUCUAUAAAUGCCUGGGUAAAUCGUACGGCUUAACCGUACGAAUUCCGGGUAGACUGUUCAACUUGGGACCGGGAGAGGCUAGAGGUACUCCUGGGGUAGAGGUGAAAUUCUGUAAUCCUAGGGGGACCACCAGUGGCGAAGGCGUCUAGCUAGAACGGGUCUGACGGUGAGGGACGAAGCCCUGGGG